rnacentral:rRNA from 1 species
UACAGAGGGUGCGAGCGUUGUUCGGAAUCACUGGGCGUAAAGGGCGCGUAGGCGGCCUGAUAAGUCGGGGGUGAAAUCCUGUGGCUUAACCACAGGGCUGCCUCCGAGACUGUCGGGCUCGAGCACAGUAGAGGCAGGUGGAAUUCCCGGUGUAGCGGUGGAAUGCGUAGAGAUCGGGAAGAACAUCGGUGGCGAAGGCGGCCUGCUGGGCUGUUGCUGACGCUGAGGCGCGACAGCGUGGGGAGCAAACAGG